rnacentral:rRNA from 1 species
AGUGAAUGCUGGCGGUAGGCCUAACACAUACAAGUCGAACGGCAGCACAGUAAGAGCUUGCUCUUACGGGUGGCGAGUGGCGGACGGGUGAGGAAUACAUCGGAAUCUACUUUUUCGUGGGGGAUAACGUAGGGAAACUUACGCUAAUACCGCAUACGACCUACGGGUGAAAGCAGGGGAUCUUCGGACCUUGCGCGAUUGAAUGAACCGAUGUCGGAUUAGCUAGUUGGCGGGGUAAAGGCCCACCAAGGCGACGAUCCGUAGCUGGUCUGAGAGGAUGAUCAGCCACACUGGAACUGAGACACGGUCCAGACUCCUACGGGAGGCAGCAGUGGGGAAUAUUGGACAAUGGGCGCAAGCCUGAUCCAGCCAUACCGCGUGGGUGAAGAAGGCCUUCGGGUUGUAAAGCCCUUUUGUUGGGAAAGAAAAGCAGCAGGUUAAUACCCCGCUGUUCUGACGGUACCCAAAGAAUAAGCACCGGCUAACUUCGUG